CUAUUCUCUAUUUUGUAAACUUGGCAUUAGCCUUAUUCUAAUGAAAUUUAAUUGCUUCAAAAAAAAAAAAAAAAAAAAACUAUCUAUAGCUACUAACUAGUAGGAUAAUUAGUGACGGGUAAAACAUGACAGUUAAACAAUACAGUUAAACUAUCUAUAUCUUUAACUAGUAGGAAUAAUGGUUCAUUCCUACGAUUUCUACUCUCUUGAUUUCAUAUGGUACAUUGGUACCAAAGUUCAAAGAACUUUUUUCAUUCGAUUUGUUUCCAUCCAGUUGCUCCGAUGAAUUCCAAGAGGGAUUCUGCCAUCAUGGUAUCAUUUGCUAAGCUAGAGGCUUCUACUACCCAAGGUUUUUUAGGCGACCAUGCGGUCAUGCGAUGGCCAUGACCGCAUGGCCGCCUAGGCGCUU
rnacentral:lncRNA from 1 species